rnacentral:lncRNA from 1 species
GAAAGUAUGUUCUAUUUUCAUUUUUCAAGCGACAUUAGCAUAACGGAGGUCCAAUUGUCUUCGGUGGUUUGUCUCACAGCCCAAAUGCCACAUGUGGUUUAUUAUUCUGCGACAAUGGCUUCCAAACCAAGAUUCUUUGAGAUUAUUGCUAUUCAAAAGAACACAGCAAACCACUCGGGGAAAGGAACCAUAAAAGGCAACUUUCCUUCAAGGCGCCAUAAGUACUACACAACUGCCCUCACGCAGCUUUGGAUCACCCAUGUCCCGACAUGUGCCGAGUCUGGAUAUUGUUCUCCAGGGUCUUUUAGAGCCUGAAAUGCUUGCGCACUUUUUGAGAAAGAAAAUAAAAGAAGUGCCAAAAUUAAAUUCACAGAACGUGUCACUAUAUAGGGCCCCUUUCAAGAUUUAAGACGGAGAGCACUGGAGAUCCUGGAAGAAUGCAACUGCUGGGGAGGACUCUUACUUUAAAGACAAGGAUUUGGAGGUCCAGAGGGACUGAGUGACUUGCCCAGAGCCCUCAGCUUGCUCCAGACGGGGCCAGCGAGAGUUGUGACUCUUCGUCCCUUCUUUUGCUCUACCACAUCACAAGGGCUGUUGAGUUAGAAGGAAUUUUGAACUUGAAACAUAACACAUCAGAGGUAAUGUCAUAGAAAGACAUCAUCAGGUCAACGUGAUUGGCAGCUGAACAAGCCUCAGCUGUGAAGUUUGAAGAAAUAAGUCCAAAAAGAGAUCAUCUAAAAGAUACCUGUUUCAAGAGAAUGCAUCCAUCGUCUAAGGACAGGGUGGUUAUAACUUCUUUCUAAAAGGAUAUCUGUUGAAGAGACUACACAAUUAAAGAGCUUGAACUCUGGAGUCAGACCAGACCUGGAGUCAGCUCUGACCCUCUCUCAUCCUACCUUUGGACAAUCUCCCAAACCCUCAAGCCUCAGUGUCUACAUCUAUAAAAUGAGCAGAGUCUUAGUAUCUACCUCACAGGGCUGUUGUGAAGGUUAAAUAAAAUGAAAUACAUAUAAA